CGAGGAUCAACAAGUCACUGGACAAAAGAGCACCAGCCGUGGGAAGAAAUGCACUAUAGUACUAUGUAAUACCCUAGACGAAGAAUAAAUAGAUCCGUUAUCUGAUGUAAACAUUUUUGUGAUAUUCAGAAGCAGCUCUUUAUAAAUAAUCAUGAACUCCUCAAGAUAAACUAUCUCCGAGGAAUAGAGGAGUGAGGCAGGGAACUGCAAAGCACAGAUAAAUGAGGUUCAUCCAAAAAGUAGUUUUCCAUUUAGCCAAAAGAUGGCUAAAUGGAAAAUGGAAGGCUAUGGCUAAUGGAAGGCUCGCUGAAAAAAAUUACAAAAUCCGAAGUCCAAGUCUGUCAAACUGUGGGCAUGCUAUUAUAUUUGGCAGUUGUAAUUUCAACAUGUAUUCGGUGCUGGUGUUGUGUUGGACCACGAUUAAAUUAAGUUUACAAAAAAUCAGCAGCAGAAGUUUCAUUAGAAGCCGUUUGACUCUCGCUUCAUAGUCCCGAUCUUGUUCUCGGACACUUGAAGAUAAGUAAAAAAGUCUGGUCAGCACUUUCGCAUUGAUGAGGGUCUGCAGACAACUGUGACAUGCUGGUUUCAUUUUCAGGCGGCGGAUUUCUAUGACACUGGGUUAUAAAAACUUAUCUCAAAGUAUGAAAAUGAUACAAUUUCUGUGGUUAUUAUGUUGAGAAUUCAUUGAAAUACUACUAUAUAUUUUACAAUAAAUCCUUCUAGAUAGCUAUGUUUUGUUUCUUCUUAAGGUACGUGGGAAACA